UGGGGAAUUUUUCGCAAUGGGCGCAAGCCUGACGAAGCAACGCCGCGUGGAGGAUGAAGGCCUUCGGGUUGUAAACUCCUGUCGACUGGGACGAAAGUAGUCCGAUCCAAUACAUCGGGCUAUCGACUGUACCGGUGGAGGAAGCCACGGCUAACUCUGUGCCAGCAGCCGCGGUAAUACAGAGGUGGCAAGCGUUGUUCGGAAUUACUGGGCGUAAAGGGCGCGUAGGCGGUCUUGUAAGUCUUGUGUGAAAUCCCUCGGCUUAACUGAGGAACUGCACGGGAUACUGCGAGACUUGAGAUCGGGAGAGGGAAGCGGAAUUCCGGGUGUAGCGGUGAAAUGCGUAGAUAUCCGGAGGAACACCGGUGGCGAAGGCGGCUUCCUGGACCGACACUGACGCUGAGGCGCGAAAGCUAGGGGAGCAAACGG
rnacentral:rRNA from 1 species